rnacentral:rRNA from 1 species
UACGAAGGGGGCUAGCGUUGCUCGGAAUCACUGGGCGUAAAGCGCACGUAGGCGGCUUAUUAAGUCAGGGGUGAAAUCCUGGAGCUCAACUCCAGAACUGCCUUUGAUACUGAUGAGCUUGAGUUCGGGAGAGGUGAGUGGAACUGCGAGUGUAGAGGUGAAAUUCGUAGAUAUUCGCAAGAACACCAGUGGCGAAGGCGGCCCACUGGCCCGAUACUGACGCUGAGGUGCGAAAGCGAUGGG